ACACUCUGGGUUCUCUUCAGAUCGUAUAAAUCUUUCGCCUUUUACUAAAGAUUUCCGUGGAGAGGACCAUUAUGAGUUUUAACUAAUUUUUUGAUGCCCUGCUCACGCGGGGCU
ensembl:snRNA U5 U5 spliceosomal RNA